rnacentral:tRNA from 1 species
GGUUGGGUAGCUCAGUUGGUAGAGCACUUGCCCAUGAAAGGCAAAGGUCCCGAGUUCGAGUCUCGGUCCGGCACA